rnacentral:rRNA from 1 species
AACGAACGCUGGCGGCAUGCCUAACACAUGCAAGUCGAACGAGACCUUCGGGUCUGGUGGCGCACGGGUGCGUAACGCGUGGGAAUCUGCCCUUAGGUUCGGAAUAACUCCCCGAAAGGGGUGCUAAUACCUGAUAAUGUCGUCGGACCAAAGAUUUAUCGCCUUUGGAUGGGCCCGCGUUGGAUUAGCUAGUUGGUAGGGUAAAAGCCUACCAAGGCGACGAUCCAUAGCUGGUCUGAGAGGAUGAUCAGCCACACUGGGACUGAGACACGGCCCAGACUCCUACGGGAGGCAGCAGUGGGGAAUAUUGGACAACGGGCGAAAGCAUGAUCCAGCAAUGCCGCGUGAGUGAUGAAGGCCUUAGGGUUGUAAAGCUCUUUUACCCGGGAUGAUAAUGACAGUACCGGGAGAAUAAGCUCCGGCUAACUCCGUG